rnacentral:lncRNA from 10 species
GAGAGAUCAGUGAUAGAUAGAUAGUGCUGGGGCUUAGAACACAAUACCCCAAAAUAUGGCACUUUGGUAUGCUGAGUAGUUGGAACUGAAGGAGACUGGAAAGGCUUCAGAAGCAAGAAGUCCUCCCUGGCCUUCUCCAACCCUCCUUUCUGCUUUCCCACUUCCCCUCUGAGCAGAUCAUAGAAACUAGAACUCCUCAUCCCAAAGCAAUUCAUAAUACCUGUAAGUGUCACUCUUUGCCCUUUUCCCUUUUCUCCUGAAGACCCUCGUGUGACAAGUAUCCUGCCCUAUACCCAGAGGAAAGAAUGCCAAACAGAGGGGCCAAAAAGAAUCUGAUUAAACAGGACUUCAUAAGUUCCCCUAGUUUAUGACCAUUAGAUCAUAACCUUUUUGUCCAAUUACAUUUCUACAUGGUUGUCCAUUCUUCAUUGAACCUAAACAUAAAAGUACACAGUUUUCCCUGUGUCUUUAGGUCUUGAUUUCUGAAGGCUCCUUAUCACAUAAAACUUUAAUUGAAUACAUUUGUUAUGCUUUUCUUUUGCUAACUGGUCUUCUGUAUUGAAGUGUCAGCCAUGACCUUAAAAGGUAUUACCUUCUCACUUUCUACCUCUACGGUUUCUGGCACCCAACAUGGAGUGGCUGAGGCACUUGACUCACUCCGGAGCCUGCAGUUGAGAUCCUGGGACAACUGACAAAAAGCCGGAAAAAAGGUUAAAAAAAAAAGUUUUUACCAAGGCAAGGAGAGCUCAGAGUGUGAAGAAAUGUGGAGAGAAGGAAUGAAUAAACAAACGAAUAGAUCUAUGAAUGGAUAAUAUAUUCAUUUCCAUCGGAAUACAUCGUCUUCAACGACAGGUGACCAACCCACUAGGAACACUUAUAUAGGGCACUCAUCAUGAAUGGAGCUUGCAGUUCUGGAAGUCGCUCUUGGUUCCAGAGUCUACAUUCCUCUCAUAGAGCAAACAAAGGCUAAAGGAAGAUCAAUGAAGAAGAGAAAUGAAGGACAUACUGGAAAUAAACUUCCUGAAGAAACUACAUGGGAAACAAAUGCCACUAAAACUACUAGGUAGAAAUAAUAUCUAUAUGCCAGACAGAGCAAUAAAAAAAUCGAUAAUCACAUACAGACAACUUUC